rnacentral:rRNA from 1 species
UCGAGGGGCAUCAGGAAGAAGCUUGCUUUCUUUGCUGGCGACCGGCGCACGGGUGAGUAACACGUAUCCAACCUGCCCUUUACUCGGGGAUAGCCUUUCGAAAGAAAGAUUAAUACCCGAUGGCAUAAUGAUUCCGCAUGGUUUCAUUAUUAAAGGAUUCCGGUAAAGGAUGGGGAUGCGUUCCAUUAGGUUGUUGGUGAGGUAACGGCUCACCAAGCCUUCGAUGGAUAGGGGUUCUGAGAGGAAGGUCCCCCACAUUGGAACUGAGACACGGUCCAAACUCCUACGGGAGGCAGCAGUGAGGAAUAUUGGUCAAUGGGCGCUAGCCUGAACCAGCCAAGUAGCGCGAAGGAUGAAGGCUCUAUGGGUCGUAAACUUCUUUUAUAUAAGAAUAAAGUGCAGUAUGUAUACUGUUUUGUAUGUAUUAUAUGAAUAAGGAUCGGCUAACUCCGUGCCAGCAGCCGCGGUAAUACGGAGGAUCCGAGCGUUAUCCGGAUUUAUUGGGUUUAAAGGGAGCGUAGGUGGACUGGUAAGUCAGUUGUGAAAGUUUGCGGCUCAACCGUAAAAUUGCAGUUGAUACUGCCAGUCUUGAGUACAGUAGAGGUGGGCGGAAUUCGUGGUGUAGCGGUGAAAUGCUUAGAUAUCACGAAGAACUCCGAUUGCGAAGGCAGCUCACUGGACUGCAACUGACA